UUAAGUUCAGCGGGUAUCCCUACCUGAUCCGAGGUCAACCAUUGAAAAAUUUCCCGGUGAAGGGAGAAGACCGGGUCCCGGGUGCCCUUGUCCAAUACGUGCUCAGUUAAAAGCUCAGUGUACCGGGGGAGCCACAGGCCGCCGUCAUUGUCUUUAGGAGGGGUCGCGGUGACGCGACCAAGCCGUCCAACACCAAGCAC
rnacentral:misc_RNA from 1 species